rnacentral:piRNA from 1 species
UGAGGAUUAGGUGGGUUAAUAUUUGUAAAG